rnacentral:rRNA from 1 species
AGCGUCAGCGGCGCUUGCUCGGCGGGAUCGUGCGUCGUCUCGGAUCGGAUUCUUCGGUCCUGGGACGACGUUAAUCUUUCCAUGCCUUGUUUCGGCGUCGUCGUCGUGCACUUCUUCCCUAGUAGAACGUCGCGACCCGUUGGGUGUCGGUCUACGGUACGAGCGGGUUAGACUGUCGCGUCGCUUACGCGCACGCGGCAGACCCUCGUUAACCCGGCCGGCUGCCCGGCGGUCGAACUUUUAUNAAGGUAUCUUGCCGCAAUUGAACAAAAUGCGUCGCGGCCCGUCGCAAGCGAGGCCAGUUAAGCGUUCAUCGCGCGCGCGGAGUUACGGACCCGGUGCCGUACCCGCGGCUGGCCGGCUGUUGGCAGACGGAGUCCUUCGACGGGCAAUACACACAAACGAUACCGGUCUGCGACGCUACUGCUUUGGGUACUCUCAGGACCCGUCUUGAAACACGGACCAAGGAGUCUAACAUGUGCGCGAGUCAUUGGGACUGCGAAGCCUAAAGGCGAAAUGAAAGUGAAGGUCGCGCCAACCAAGGUCGACCGAGGGAGGAUGGGCCGCGUUUGCGCGCGGUUCCGCACUCCCGGGGCGUCUCGUUCUCAUUGCGAGAAGAGGCGCACCCAGAGCGUACACGUUGGGACCCGAAAGAUGGUGAACUAUGCCUGGUCAGGACGAAGUCAGGGGAAACCCUGAUGGAGGUCCGUAGCGAUUCUGACGUGCAAAUCGAUCGUCGGAACUGGGUAUAGGGGCGAAAGACUAAUCGAACCAUCUAGUAGCUGGUUCCCUCCGAAGUUUCCCUCAGGAUAGCUGGCACUCGUUCGUUUAUAAUUGAACGUAAAGGAGUCUCAUCUGGUAAAGCGAAUGAUUAGAGGCCUUGGGGCCGAAACGACCUCAACCUAUUCUCAAACUUUAAAUGGGUGAGAUCUCUGGCUUGCUUGAAAUAUGAAGCCACGAGAGAGAUAUUUCGGAUCAGAGUGCCAAGUGGGCCAAUU